rnacentral:lncRNA from 1 species
GUUAAUUACUUAUCACUUAACAGAAUGGAAAUGAGGAAAGGAAAGGAGAAAGAGAAGGAACAUUUAUUUAGCUCUUCCUAUGUGCUUGCAUUCAGAAUUUUGCCAAGAUUCCUCAUCAUGCCCAUUGGUCAACGGAUUCCAGAUGCCAACUCUUCCCACUUUUUAAAAUAGGACAAAUGUUUGGCAGCUCCAGUUCUGAGGACUUUUCUCAUUUGCUGAUGAUUCCUCAAUGAGAAGAGUCUGGUAAACGAACAGCAGUCCAAAUUUAACUUGACACCCGUGCACCAGGAAGCAUGUUGACACGUGUUUUUAGUAGUACUCUUCAUUAAGGAAAUAAUUCAAGUUGCCUAUCAGCAGUGGAAUGAUUAAAGGUACCGGUUAUCCAUACCAUGGACUAUUACACAGCAGUGAAAUGAAUAGAUCAUGUUACACACGCCAGUCUGGCUGAAUUUCAAAAAGAAUACUGAGCCGAAGAAGCCAAUCAUAAAGUAUGACUUCAAAGACAUUUUCAAAACAGGCAAAACUAAACAUGUACACUGUUUACUGAAACACAUAUGCACUAAAAAGCAAAGGUGUGAUUCACACGAAAUUCAGGACAGUCGUUAUCUCUGAGGGGCGUGGGAGGAGGAAGGAUAUACGAUCUGGGUGGAGCACACAGGAAACUUCUGGGGGACUGGUGAUGUUCCAUUUCUUGGCAUAGAUGAUGGUUUAAAAGCUGUUUAUUGUGUUGUUUAAAUUAUACAUGUAUAUUUUCACAUACAGCUUGUAUAUUUUACAAUGUAAUAAUGGAUCCACAUUCUGGCUGGUGAGGCAGGCUCUCCUAGGCAUCUACCUUUUUAUACACAUAUUAUUCUGGUUUACUGGUCUGUAAUAGAUCCUGCAUUAGCUGGAUUCUGGAAUUCAAU